UACGUAGGUGACAAGCGUUGUCCGGAUUUACUGGGCGUAAAGCGCACGUAGGCGGAUUUGUAAGUCAGGGGUGAAAUCCCGGGGCUCAACCCCGGAACUGCCCUUGAAACUGCAGUGCUAGAAUCUUGGAGAGGCGAGUGGAAUUCCGAGUGUAGAGGUGAAAUUCGUAGAUAUUCGGAAGAACACCAGUGGCGAAGGCGACUCGCUGGACAAGUAUUGACGCUGAGGUGCGAAAGCGUGGGGAGCAAACAGG
rnacentral:rRNA from 1 species